rnacentral:rRNA from 1 species
CGGCGGACGGGUGAGUAACGCGUGGGUAACCUACCCUGUACACACGGAUAACAUACCGAAAGGUAUGCUAAUACGGGAUAAUAUAUUUGAGAGGCAUCUCUUAAAUAUCAAAGGUGAGCCAGUACAGGAUGGACCCGCGUCUGACUAGCUAGUUGGUAAGGUAACGGCUUACCAAGGCGACGAUCAGUAGCCGACCUGAGAGGGUGAUCGGCCACAUUGGAACUGAGACACGGUCCAA